rnacentral:rRNA from 1 species
AUUGAACGCUGGCGGCAUGCUUUACACAUGCAAGUCGAACGGCAGCGCGGGCUUCGGCCUGGCGGCGAGUGGCGAACGGGUGAGUAAUACAUCGGAACGUGCCCAGUAGUGGGGGAUAGCUCGGCGAAAGCCGGAUUAAUACCGCAUACGACCUGAGGGUGAAAGCGGGGGAUCUUCGGACCUCGCGCUAUUGGAGCGGCCGAUGGCAGAUUAGCUAGUUGGUGGGGUAAAGGCCUACCAAGGCGACGAUCUGUAGCUGGUCUGAGAGGACGACCAGCCACACUGGGACUGAGACACGGCCCAGUCUCCUACGGGAGGCAGCAGUGGGGAAUUUUGGACAAUGGGCGAAAGCCUGAUCCAGCAAUGCCGCGUGUGUGAUGAAGGCCUUCGGGUUGUAAAGCACUUUUGGCGGGAACGAAAAGGACUGUGCCAAUACCACGGUUCGAUGACGGUACCCGCAGAAUAAGCACCGGCUAACUACGUG